rnacentral:tRNA from 1 species
AUCGUUCACGUAGCUUAACUAAAGCAUAACACUGAAGCUGUUAAGAUGGUCCGUAAAAGCCCCGUGGACA